rnacentral:rRNA from 1 species
AAGCUCGUAGUUGAAUUUCGGGGUUCUACCGUUGGUCGGGCUAACCAGUCUGUACUAGCGUGUAGAAUUCCUACCUUCUGGGGAACCAUCAUGUUAUUAAUUUAGCGUGGUGGGAAACCAGGACCUUUACCUUGAAAAAAUUAGAGUGUUCAAAGCAGGCUUACGUCUGAAUACAUUAGCAUGGAAUAAUAAAAUAGGACGGUGGUCCUGUUUUGUUGGUUUCUGAAUCACCGUAUGAUUAAUAGGGAUAGUUGGG